UGGGGAGAUGGAGCUGUGGAGGGUGAGGAUGGUCAGCUGUGCUUUGCUGUGGGCAGUGCUGGCAGCAGAGGGUGAGGGUGAGAUGGCAAAAGCCUCUCUGAGUUUGCAAAUCCUUCGUAUCCCGUUCCGGCAUGGCGUUAAUUGCAGUAGGGCUGUGCGGGUGCUGAGCUCCAGGUUAAUUGUGGCUGAUGGAUAUUUCAUCUACUCGUUUCCCUGCCUUGACCUUCAUACCUAGCUCUGCAAUCGGAUCUGAAGAUCAGCCCGUAGCUUUUCAGCUGGCUCCAGUAUUUCCUGUCCCCAGACACGGGGGAAGGAUCGGGCUGACUGUCAGCACCGCGUCCUGCCCUGUGCUGGCACCUUUCCCUGCAGUGCGAUGGGUUUGGUGAGGAGCAGCUCCUCCUGCACGACACUGCUGUGUUUUGAGUACUGCAGAGCUAAGAGCCCUGGGGACGCAGGCAGGGAGCUGCUGUUCCUGCAGCCAUGCAGCCCCAUUGCCAUGUGUGACCACUGCCCUGCAGCGCUUGGGCUCAUCCCUCAUGCUGCUCCUCUCCCUGCUCCCUAUCUCUCCUCCUAAGGCAAUAAAAGCAGUGCAGACACGUUCCCAGCUGUCACGGGGCUGGUGACAAAUACCUCUGCUCUUCCUCAUGGCCUUUGCUUCGUCCUCUAGGGUUUCCUUCCCCUGCUUGAAUGAAGGCUCGAGGGCUCAGGAUGGGUCCUAUGGAGUGCUGGGCGUGUGGGCACCUCCCAGCCCUAUCUCACCCAUGUGAGAGAUAUCUGCAGGGGAGAGUGCUCAGAAGCUCAGGAGCCAAAGUCUGCAUCACUCCAGAGUGGGGACUUUGGUCCAUUAAUGACUUGUGAAAUUGCUGGUGGGCAUGGAUGUGAGUUCGUGGUUUUUGAGGUUACUGCAGGCUGGAAGGCCUUUUCAGUGAGCAUUGGGCUCUGUAAGCUUAACCCAAAGCUAGAACUUACUUUAUCAAACACGUCCUUUUUUUUUUUUCUCCUUCUUCUCUUUGGUUUCCAUUAGGGCAGCUGAUGAAUUCCCGUCACCCUCAGUGAAAGCAGCUCUCCUAAACUUAAGGGCAGCUUUCCCAGGUGUGAGAGAGGAACUGAAGCAGCGGGAGGCUUGGUUUGUUCUGGCUGUGAAAGCGUGCUGUGUUGGAUGCGGAUCUGGGGGGGGGAGAGUUGCACGAUGCUCUUUGAAAACAGCAGCAUUUGAGGUGUUGAAUAUCAGAGGAUCACAGCACGGGGGAGGGUGGGAUGGAAGGAGCCCACGGCCCCCGGCCACUUUCGCAUGGACCAAUUCCCAUGUGCAGCAAGGAUUCGUGCAGAGUGCUUUCUGAUGCCGGCUGCAGCUGCAUCCCAGCAGCUUCCUUCUCCCAGCUCCUGCAGAGCCCUCAGGGCAGGAUCAGGUCUGUGGGAGCUGCUGCUCUCUGGGAGCAGCUCACUGAGUGAUGGCAGUGCAGCAGUUUCCCCUCGCGCUCCCUGGAGGUGGUUUCACUGAUGACCUCUGCUGCACCUUUUUGCGAAGGUUUUCAGCUUCCUCAGCUGUGGUGGGGAUUUUACAGCUAGAUUUCUAUGGCAAUUGCUUUGCCAAAGCAAAGCCCACCGUGCAGGGCUGCCUUUAGGAAGCUCUUUGUAAGAGGGCUUCAGUGGGAUAGAGGAUGUUCCUCUGGGCAGAUGUUCCCGUGGUCGCUGUGAUGUGUGCGUUGUGCGUGGAUGGAUCAAUGAAUGGCUCUGCUCCUCAGCCAUGCGAGGAAAAACUAAAGCAUCUGUUCUGUGCUUGCCUCCUCAGCAAAAGGUUUGAGAGGAGAGGAGUGGAUCUGCACAGGUUGUCCUGAGCUGCAGCGAGGAAGGUUUGGAGCUGUGUGUCAGCUGGGACAGCGUGGGGCUCCUGAGCUUUUCGGAUGGAGAUGAGGAGGUCUGUGCUGGCAGGCGUCUGGCUGUGGCUGCAACCAAAGCCAGUCCUUCCCGAGCUGCCCUGCAGGAUGGCUUCACUCUGCAUGGGAACGUUGGCUUUCUGCAGCUUCCACCUCUGGGCCAGCGGCUCCAAGAAGAAGGAGACAGGAGAGAGCAGAGCACAGGCACCAGCAAAGAGGAACGAGCAGGCGUAAGUCUGCGUGUAGUCGUACAGCCACCCUGCAGGAGAGGAGAUGGUUAUUGAGGCUGUUGGGUUGAAAACCGCUUUGGGGAGAUGUGUGGGAAGCAAGGGAUGUGUGCUGUCCUUUAAGAAUGCCUCAGAUAUUUUCUGCAGGUUGCCUUAACCCUUUGUGGCUGUGUGGCUGGCCGGCAGGCAAGGUGUUCUUGGGACCGACAUUGCCAGCCCCUUGUAGGGGAUGUGAGUUUGCAUUGGAUUACGUUUAAUCCCCAACAUUUUGCUUUUUCCUUUUUAACCACAAGGGCCAGAAGUAGCUGCUGCAGCAGAUGUGAGGUCCUGCUGGAUAAUGAGCUGCUUUGCACGUGUUGGGCUUUGCAACAUCUGCGCCGCAAUCUCUGCGUUCCCCCAGGCAUUUUGAGCACACCCAGUGCAGCAACCUGUCCAAAGUGAGAGAUCCCAGACGAGGGGCUGCGAGCAAACUUGCUUAAUAGUAGCUUUGCUGGCACUUGAAAGGAAAACCUGAAUUCCACAGAGACUCAGGAAUAUGCAGAGGGGCAGGUCGCCUUUUAAAGUGACCUUGAAGUGUUUUGUUUGGUUACGUCUAGUUUCUGGACCUUCAGAUUUAAGUGUGUGUAUCAUCUAUUAUCUGGGUCUUUCAUUUAAUUCUUCCUGCUUGAAUCUAAAAUAUGCAAAGCAAUUGGAGCUGCUGCUGCCUGUCAUAAACCCUGCAGUAUAAUCCCAAACCUGGCAUCCGGAUGUGUGGGGUGGGUGAGCAGCACAGUGACCAACGGAGCUCAGAGCUGCUGCUCAUGUGGAGCAAAAUUCCUUGCGUGACAUCCAUGGAUUUACACCACUGACAGCAGCAGCUUGGGAUCCAGAUAGACCAGAAAACAGCAGCAGCAGAGCCUUGUUCCCAGCAUUACCUGUGGAAUUGUGGGGAAGGAAGCAGUGCUGCUCAGUAUGGGGUGACCAAAGGGGACAGAUGCCAACGCUUUCCUUGCUGGCAUUUGCAGAGCCACGGAGGGCUUUGGGGAAAGGAGGUCUUGCACAGUGCCCUGUGGGCUCACCAGCUUUCAGUUUCACUUAUCCCAUGCCUUUGCCAGAUCUCAGCUCUGUUGUUUUUGCUUUUUCUCAGGGAUAUUGCUUGAGCCCAGGAGUGCCUUUCCAGAGGGCAGAGCCCAGGGAAGUGCAGUGGGGAGGAUGUUCCACGUGCUCCCCCUGCGUUGUGCAGGAUGGGCUGUCAUCAGAGGUGGGGUCAGCUUCUGCUCUUUGAAGAUCUAUGGGAUGCAGACCAGGGAUGCUGGCGUUGUCAACCGUACAACGCAGACAUCCAGAGCACAGCAUUCCAGCUGUGAUAAGCUCUGAAUCUUUUUAUUAUUACUUUUAAAAUCUUCGUGAUCAUUCUAAAAGCGGGAUUUUUCUGGUUGUUUUUUAAUAUACAGAAGCUCUGCUGAAGCCUCAGUGUCCCCUCCUGGCUGGCAGUGCCAUGCAGGUGAUGCUCUGAGCACAGCACGUCCUUUCAGAGCCUGUGUGCCUCUCCCUGAGCAAGAAGGGCCAAAUCCUGCUGCAGGGAGCUGAGUGCCUGCAACACACAGCAGAGUGAUGGUUCUGCAAGCUGGUUGGGUUGUUGGAAUUGCAGAGCUUCUCUGUGAGGGGCCUGGCGCCUCUGGGUUUUGUUUGCUGCACAUUUCCUAACAGCAAUGCCUAGCACAAAGGCAGCCAUGCUGGAGGUGAGAGCAUUUAAAUCCCUGUGCCAAUGCUGCUUUCAGAUGACUCCUUCCUCUCCUCCUUUACCUCCCACGUUUGUUGGAGCUGGAGUUGCUGUGUGCUGCCUGCUGGAAUCAGUUUUGUGGUCUUGAAUUACAUCGCUUGUUUGGUGAUGGUUUGUUUUUUUCCCCUUUUGCAGUUUGUUACUGAUUUCUCCUCCUCAGGAAAUAGGUUGUGCCUUCUCCUUGGCUCUCUUGUAGCUUGCCAAAAUGAUGUUUGUUCUGCCUUGUUCUGCUGUUCAGGAGUGCAGGAGCACCCAGCUAUGAGGAGCCUCAGCCCUGGCUUAAGGGCUUGCAGUUAAACAGAUUUGCACGUAAGUCACCUCUUCAUUGCACUGUGAUCAGGCUUUGCUCUGCUGUGCACAAUAAGCAUUUAUAACCUGUGUCUCCCUCAUGUUGUGGCUUCCACUGCAAAAACGAUGCAAGCUGAGCUUUUGGGGUCAGCAUUUCAGGGAGGUCAGCAGCAGUGGGAUGCACUGAAACCCCCAAGGUCUUUCUUAGCACUUCAGUCCUGUUGUGUGUUCUGCAAGGAGCAGCUGCUGUUGGAAACAGGGAGUUAGCAGGUAGUCCCAACUGGUUUUCAUGUUUCCUAUGGCAGUGUCAGGGCAUUGCAGUAGAAAGCAUGGGAAAACUACAGCAAAAGGAAAACUGUGGUGUGCCACAAACCUGGAUCCGAGCUGUGACUCAUUUCCCUCUCGCCCUCCUUGCAGUGAGGUGGAUCAGUGCGACUCCUUGGCUUUGUUGGGCCUCGAUUUAUCCCAUCUGGUUGGAGAAGGCUGAUCUCUGUAUGGGGCUUCUCACCGAAAGCCUGCUUGCUUUGCAAAACCCAGACCCAUCCUCGCAUCGUCAGGAAGCAGAAGGCUUCCAAUUAGCGAAAAUAGAUUGGAAGCAGAGGGAAAGCAUAACCACUGCAUGAUGCAUGGAUGAAGGAGAGCCAACUUACUUAGCUCUUUUCACACCGUAUGUUAUUCUGUCAGAAAAUUUCCUGCGCUGGUUUUGCAGGUAUUGCUUUCUGCUGGACGUACAUCUUGUAUCAGCAGAAGAGAUCUUCUCCAGCUCGGGCUAUGGAUCACUGUGACAGAGUAAAGCAUGCUGUCAAUGAAACGCUUUAGCUGCUCCAAAUUGCAUCCAUACCCAGAGUUUGGCCAACCUAGAGAUACUGAUUAGGGAAAUCAAUCUUUCUCGUGCCUGCAGCAUGGCAGGGCUGCUGGAGCUCUGCAGCACAGAGGUGGUGUCACGGAGCACUGACGCAGGGCUGUCUUCCUUCAGUCCCUCUGUUUCUGGUUCAGUAUUAACAGUGCCCUGAUCGUGGUCAAACCCAACGGUAGUGAAGUCAGUGCUGCUGUGCUGUGGGUGCUGAGCUCCUUUCCCAUGCAGCUGUCACACUGUACAUUCAUGAGCAAAACUGUUUCCUGUGCACAAAGCUGACGGUUCUCAAACGUGUUGUGUUUUAUCUGCUUGGACAGAAAAGCCAUCCGUGGAUGUGUACGGGUAGGAGGCUGAUCCAGAAGAAGGUUUUACUACUGGAUGCUGGUGGUGGGUAUGUGAGAUGUGAAAGGUUUACAUUACCUGCGAGAGGAGGUCCGCCAACAGCUGCUAUCCCAGCAAAGAAGGAAGCAAAGCCCAAAUAGCUGUGGAGUUUUUGCACGCCGACCAGGUCGACCUGUUGGUGUAAACGCAGCACAGGGAGCACCAGAGCCAGGAAUCCACCGCAGAAGAUGGCGAAGGCCACAGCGUAGGUCAUGAGCAGAGGGAAGGUGGUGGCCAGGGGGCAGAGCAGGUUGGUGACACCACAGAGCACCAGGUAAGCUGCGUGGUAAUGGUACUUCUUGGUCCAGUUCUGGUCUGCAAUCCAUCCUGAGAGCAGCUGGCUGCCCGUCUCGGUGAUGCCUGCAGGAAGAGCUCACUGAGCCUCAGGGAAAGGUUUCUUACAUAGAUAUCGAUCUUUUCCCCAACUUUUGGUGCUUGUUUCCACAUUUUUGGAUGCGUUUGUUAAAAGAUCAGAGCAGUGGGGGCUGUCAGCUCUCAAUUAGGGGCGUCAGGUUAAUUGCUGUGCGCUCCUCCUCGAUUCCUUCACAACAUUACCUCAAUUCUACGCGCUGCACAGCGCUGUGGAAGGAAGAUUUAUUUUUAUACAAUAAAAUGUUUUAUGAUGA